rnacentral:misc_RNA from 1 species
AACGCACAUUGCGCCCCUUUUGCAGAGGGGCAUGCCUGUCUGAGCGUCUUUAAAAUCAUAGACUCGAGUCUGUUUUGGGCCUCGCCGCCUGGCGUCGCCUGGAAGCCAUUGCUGUUGAGCGGACGAGAUCCAUUAGGACUGGCCGUUCCGGGCUUUUUCUUCGAGACAGACCUCAGAUCAGGUAGGAUUACCGCCUGAACUUAA